AGGACGAACGCUGGCGGCGUGCUUAACACAUGCAAGUCGAGCGGAAAGGCCCUUCGGGGUACUCGAGCGGCGAACGGGUGAGUAACACGUGAGCAACCUGCCCUUAGCUCCGGGAUAGCUCCGGGAAACCGGAAUUAAUACCGGAUACGACCACGGCCGACAUCUGCUGUGGUGGAAAGGAUUCCGGCUAAGGAUGGGCUCGCGGCCUAUCAGCUUGUUGGUGGGGUAACGCCUACCAAGGCGACGACGGGUA
rnacentral:rRNA from 1 species